AGCAGCCGCGGUAAUUCCAGCUCCAAUAGCGUAUAUUAAAGUUGUUGCAGUUAAAAAGCUCGUAGUUGAAUUUCGGGGUCAGUAGGCUGGUCGUGCCACGGGUAUGUACUGGUCUUACUGAUUCCUCCUUCCUGAUGAACCGUAAUGCCAUUAAUUUGGUGUUGCGGGGAAUCUGGACUGUUACUUUGAAAAAAUUAGAGUGUUUAAAGCAGGCUAACGCUUGAAUACAUUAGCAUGGAAUAAUGAAAUAGGACGAUCGAUCCUAUUUUGUUGGUUUCUAGGAUUGACGUAAUGAUUAAUAGGGAUAGUUGGGGGCAUUAGUAUUCAAUUGUCAGAGGUGAAAUUCUUGGAUUUAUUGAAGACUAACUACUGCGAAAGCAUUUGCCAAGGAUGUUUUCAUUAAUCAAGAACGAAAGUUAGGGGAUCGAAGACGAUCAGAUACCGUCGUAGUCUUAACCAUAAACUAUGCCGACUAGGGAUCGGAUGAUGUUAAUUUUUUAAUGACUCAUUCGGCGCCUUACG
rnacentral:rRNA from 1 species